UGGCGGACGGGUGAGUAAUGUCUGGGAAACUGCCCGAUGGAGGGGGAUAACUACUGGAAACGGUAGCUAAUACCGCAUAACGUCGCAAGACCAAAGAGGGGGACCUUCGGGCCUCUUGCCAUCGGAUGUGCCCAGAUGGGAUUAGCUAGUAGGUGGGGUAACGGCUCACCUAGGCGACGAUCCCUAACUGGUCUGAGAGGAUGACCAGCCACACUGGAACUGAGACACGGUCCAG
rnacentral:rRNA from 1 species